CUGAUGAUUAUUUCAAAUUUUACUUUCGUACUUUAUGAACAAAAAUGGCAUUUAUAUUUCUACAACAAAUUUACAUGCAUGGGUCAAAAAUGACCCAUUCAUUCAAGUGGGAUUCUAAUAUAAAUGAGUUAAUACUAUAAUAAUAACAUUUGUUUUGGAAGUAAUAUGUUUUGCUUUGAGUUUCUUUUCAUUUUGUCCCACAUACCUCUGAUAACACAACAUGUCUGAACUGGAUCAGUAACAACUGUAAACUGGUGUGGGACGUCCGUUUACACCAAUUGCCACCUCAGUUUUUACAUGCCUCACAAAGUGCUUCCAAUGUCAGCUGUGGCUACAUCAGUAGAUACCAUCACCUGGAGCACACGUUAACUGUUUAUCAUACUUUAUGUACUGUAUAUAAGUUGUACGGCGACCUUGAGUGCUCAGAAAGGCGCCUUAUAAUUACAAUGUAUUAUUAUUAUUUUUAUUGUUAUUCUUCCCACCCCCAGUUCCAAUAAAGGCAGUGGAGCCCCUGUCAUGUUUCCAUGGAAUUCUAAUAUCAGUUUUAUUGCUGGGCAACAACAACCUGAAGAAAAGAGGGGCGGAAGGUAUAGGUAUAUCCUCUUUUGGACGGGAGGGUCCCUCAGAGGGCUCACAUGUUUCCUCAGCGACCCCACCCCCAGGCUGCAGAGGCCGUUAUGUAAGCCACAGACUUGAGAAUUCCUUUUAGAGAGAGGAGGGGGGGUCCUCCUAGUCACUCUGAGGCAAUGCCCAUCCCUGCAUGACCAAAGCAGAAGAGCAGUGUUACAUAACCACGCAGCCCUCGUGGCUGCUGCUCCAUCUGUACGUAAGGUGAUGAAUCCAGCGUCUGCUUAGUCAUCUCUGCAUCCUCACUCCUCCUCGUGAGCUCCCCUUUCAGAUCACGGCUAUUAAACUGUCAACAAUAAGGGGCAAAUGAAGCACUUAGAAAGGAGAACCUUUCAGGUGACAUCAACUGAAAUGAAAACUGACUAAGAUGAAAUGCUUUCAUGCAUUCAGGUCAAACCACAAACAAGGAGAGGGCUCCAUCAUGUGGACAAAGAAGCUGCUGAGUCUCUGCAUCAGAACAGUUCUUAUGAGCUUUAGCAGCAUGGAGGUCUGAGCAAACAGGAAACUUCAUGUCUGACUGGCAGCAGCCGUGGAAUCUGAUUCACAGUUUCUGUUGGAGACAAACAAUCGUUCUUGAACGUCUGAGCAGGAUCAGCACGAACACAGAGCUGUCAAAGGUUUUCAGUGGAAAAACCUGCAGUCAGUCCCGCUGGACACGGACACAUCUAAGUCAUCUGAAUCAAGCGUUUUCCACGUUUAUGCAUCUGAUAAACAUCGAUUCAUGGACGUCUAUUUCACAUCGCUGUUUAGAUCUCUUGCGGAAUCUUUCCCACAGCUAAUCCUGUCGCAGCCCAUCAUGCCUUGCGGCUGGAUACGGAGGACAAUAUUUGUCAAAAACAAGAUCUGACGGUGGACUGUUCAAAGUCGACUUCAAGUGUAUUAAGCGGAGGUCGUUGCAUCCUGUUUCUGUUGCCAUCUGCAUUGCUAUUUUAGGCGACUUUUGUGUGUUUCAAUUGUCCAAAGUUGUAAUUUAUUGUGUAAGAUUGUUAAAAAAGAAGUUGUGCUGUUCUGAUUCUCCUGAAUGAAUAUGCUGUUCCCCCAUAAAAGGAAGUCUGAAUGUUGAA